rnacentral:rRNA from 1 species
UACGUAGGGUGCAAGCGUUGUCCGGAAUUACUGGGCGUAAAGGGUUUGUAGGUGGCUUGUUAAGUCAGACGUGAAAUCCCUCAGCUUAACUGGGGAACUGCGUCUGAUACUGGCGAGCUUGAGUGCAGGAGAGGAACGCGGAAUUCCAGGUGUAGCGGUGAAAUGCGUAGAUAUCUGGAGGAACACCGGUGGCGAAGGCGGCGUUCUGGACUGCAACUGACACUGAGAAACGAAAGCCAGGGUAGCAAACGGG